CUAGCGGCGAACGGGNGAGNACACGUGAGUAACCUGCCCCCGACUCUGGGAUAAGCCUGAGAAAUUGGGUCUAAUACUGGAUAUGAACAUUUACCGCAUGGUGGGUGUUGGAAAGAUUUUUUGGUUGGGGAUGGACUCGCGGCCUAUCAGCUUGUUGGUGAGGUAGUGGCUCACCAAGGCGACGACGGGUAGCCGGCCUGAGAGGGUGACCGGCCACACUGGGACUGAGACACGGCCCAGACUCCUACNGGAGGCAGCAGUGGGGAAUAUUGCACAAUGGGCGAAAGCCUGAUGCAGCGACGCCGCGUGAGGGAUGACGGCCUUCGGGUUGUAAACCUCUUUCAGUAAGGAAGAAGCGAAAGUGACGGUACUUGCAGAAGAAGCGCCGGCUAACUACGUGCCAGCAGCCGCGGUAAUACGUAGGGCGCGAGCGUUAUCCGGAAUUAUUGGGCGUAAAGAGCUCGUAGGCGGUUUGUCGCGUCUGCCGUGAAAGUCCGGGGCUUAACUCCGGAUCUGCGGUGGGUACGGGCAGGCUAGAGUGCAGUAGGGGAGACUGGAAUUCCUGGUGUAGCGGUGAAAUGCGCAGAUAUCAGGAGGAACACCGAUGGCGAAGGCAGGUCUCUGGGCUGNAACUGACGCUGAGGAGCGAAAGCAUGGGUAGCGAACAGGAUAGA
rnacentral:rRNA from 2 species